GUCGAGCUGGGUUGCGUCAGCUUGUGGCCCAAGUGGGGACAUCAGAGUGAAGGAACAUAUCUGAGGCCGAGUUGGGCUGGGCUUUGCUUGCAAAAUUGCUGGCCUGUCCAAUCCAAGUUGGGAAAUGAUCCAUGUGACUAGGUUUCCCGGUUCCUAGACUUGGGGGUACUGCGUAAGGCUGAUAAUCUCGGAUUCCCAACAGUGGAGGGAAAACAGGCUGCUGCAACAUAAGCCCACUUCUAUUCUAGCCCAGUUAGCCUUCAGUUUGGACCUUCACUUUU
rfam:Vigna angularis cultivar Jingnong 6 scaffold552_12, whole genome shotgun sequence.